GAAGCAACGCGAAGAACCUUACCAGGUCUUGACAUACCAUUGACCGUUCUAGAGAUAGGAUUUUCCCUUCGGGGACAAUGGAUACAGGUGGUGCAUGGUUGUCGUCAGCUCGUGUCGUGAGAUGUUGGGUUAAGUCCCGCAACGAGCGCAACCCCUGUCGUUAGUUGCCAGCAUUCAGUUGGGGACUCUAACGAGACUGCCAGUGACAAACUGGAGGAAAGUGGGGAUGACGUCAAAUCAUCAUGCCCCUUAUGACCUGGGCUACACACGUGCUACAAUGGUUGGUACAAAGAGAAGCGAAGCGGUGACGUGGAGCAAACCUCAUAAAGCCAAUCUCAGUUCGGAUUGUAGGCUGCAACUCGCCUACAUGAAGUUGGAAUCGCUAGUAAUCGCGAAUCAGAAUGUCGCGGUGAAUACGUUCCCGGGUCUUGUACACACCGCCCGUCACACCACGAGAGUUUACAACACCCGGAGUCAGUGGCCUAACCGCAAGGAGGGAGCUGCCUAAGGUGGGGUAGAUGAUUGGGGUGAAGUCGUAACAAGGUAUCCCUACCGGAAGGUG
rnacentral:rRNA from 1 species